UCAAAAUAUAAUGAUUCUGAGUUAAAGCAUAUCCAAACAGUUCACCAAAAGAAAAAACUGGAUUUUUUCACAUUUGUUCUGUUUCCAUGGAAACAGUAGCCAUCUUGAACCAUUCCAUGCUUACUGCAACUCUGCACGUGGGGGUCCUUACUAUAAUAGAGUUCCAUCAACAUUGGUCCAUUGAAUUUCGAGAAAUCACCUGGACAAAAUUUGUUGCAAGAAAAAAAAUAAUAAUAAGAAAAAAAAGAAACGUAGAAUAACAAUACGUCACCCCAACUCCGUUGAGGGUGCCAUAAUCAAAA
rnacentral:lncRNA from 1 species